GGGACAUUUAAAAAGUUCUCAGAUAGACACUUGAAUGUGCAUGAAAUGGAAGGAUAUGGACAUCGUGUGGGCAGAAGGGAUUAGUUCAGUAUGUUUCUUUGAUGUGGUGGUGUUUGUUAUUCCUCAACUCUACAAAAGCAACCUACAAUGACCACAAUCCAACAAAGAUGCAGCAUGCAACAGGCGCUUCCAGCCAACGAUCUCCGCCACCCAGCAACCUCCAGCCUAAUCGCAGGACAAUUUACAAUGACCAGUUAACCUACAAACCGGAAAGUGGGAGUAAACUGGAGCUCUUGGAGGAAUCCCACUUGUUCAUGGGGAGGACGUACAAACUCUUUACAGAGAGUGUUGGAAUCAAACUGCGAACUCUAACGCCUGGAGCUGUAACAGUGCUGCGCAAACCAUUACAUUACCUUGCCACCUUAAGUAUAUGCAAUCAAAUUCUGAAAUCACCUUAAAUACUUUACUGGGAGUUACUUCUAUCCAGAGGGUUCUCAACAGUGAUUAUAACAAGAAUACUACACCAGUAAGAAAAAGACCAGCAAGAGGUCAAACCAUCCAAAACAUCAAGACUAUAGAGAUUCAGAUUUAUUUAUCACAUCUACAUCAAGACAUAUAGUAAAAAGCGUUGUUUGUGUUAACAACCAACACACCUUGCAGCUGCAAGUGUUGCCACUCAUUCUGAUGCUAACAUAGCACGCCUACAAUGUUCGGCAGAACAACACAUAACAGAGCAAAACAGAAGAUACCAAGUGACAAAGCUAAACAAGUCCCACAGGAGAUUGAGAGGAGAUUUGAUAGAGGUAUUCAAAAUUACGAGGGGUAUAUUUAAGGUGAAUGAAAGCAGGCUUUAUACACUGUGCAACCCUCACAAAAUGCUGGUGGGACGCAGCAGGCCAGGCAGCAUCUAUAGGGAGAAGCGCUGUCGGCGUUUCGGGCCGAGAUCCUUCGUCAGGACUAACAGAAAGGAAAGAUAGUAAGAGAUUUUAAAGUAAGGGAGGAGGGGAAAAUUUGUAAUGAUAGGAGAAGACCGGAGGGGGUGGGGUGAAGCUGAGAGCCAGAAAGGUGAUUG